UUUUUUUUUUACACUUUAAAAUUCAUAAUGGGGGUAAAUAAUUACCCAAUUAGUUUAGGGUCUAAAGUAAAUUUUGCUAACAAGUUGAGGAGGGAUUUGAUGUAUUUUCUCAAUUAUUAUUCAUGCUUUUUGACUGUACUAAAAUUAUGUUAAAAAUAAGAAUGCAUAACUCACAAAAAUUGUGAGUUAUGUUAAAAUAAAAUGCAUAACUCACAAUUUUUGUGAGUUAUGUUAAAAUAAGAAUGAAUAACUCACAAAAAUUGUGAGUUAUGCACUUUUCAAGAAAAUUAACACCGUGUGCUGUCUUCCGUUAAGCAUAGAUUGAUACAUUUUUAAAUAUAUGACAUAAUUUGGUGUUUUUUUUUAGUUUGGUGGCAUAAAAUGAUUCCGGACUCAAUAUAGAGAAUGGUCUAUUACCCCUCAACCUUUAGUCGAAAUUUCAACUACACAUUCAACCUUUAAAGGUGACCUAUUAUCCCCUUAAACUUAUUUUUACCGAAUUUAUUACCCCUCAAUUGCUGAUCUAUCACUAGACGUGACUACACCCGCCCAUGGGCGCGUCAGUUGACCCAAUUUCACUUUAAAUUCUUUUUUUUUUCUGAUUGCCACAUCAUUAUUUUUAAUAAUAUAAUAAAUAUUUUAAUUAUUACUUUUUCUUAAUAAAUUCUAAUUACCACGUCAUGUCUUCUUCUUCUCUUUUAAUGGAUUUCUCCGAAACUAAGAAAUUCUUUUUUCUCCGAAAUCGAAACCAAGAAACACUUAAACUAAGAAAACAAUAAGAUUUCUCCGAUUAAUGAAUUCUUAAAUGAAGAAGUUGGGAAACUCCGAUUCAAAAAACUUGAAAAAAUUAAAGAACUUCGAUUUCCUCUCUUUUUGCUCAAGAUAACCAUUAAUGGCGAGCUCAAAGCUUCGAAUUUUCACAAUGUUAUCUAUAAUUUUUAACAUAACCCAUGUAUAAUAUUCAAUCAAUUUCUCCGAUUUUCUCUAUUUUUGCUCAAGAUCCGCCAUUAAUGGCGAGCUCAAAGCUUUGAAUUUUCACAAUGAGAAAGAAUUCACCAUUAAUGGCGAUCUUGAGCAAAAAGAGAUGAAAUUGGGUGUAAGAAUUUCAUUAAUCCGCUAUUCAAGAACUUCAUUAAUCCACCAUAUUUUUCUCAAGAAUUUUAUUUUUGACCUAAGAAGAUGAAAUUAGUUGAAAAGAAAAUGGAGCAAAAUAAAAAAUGAAAUAAUAAAAUUAAAUAAUUAAUUUUUUUAGAGUUAAAAAAAAAAGAAAAAAUAACAUGGCAUGACGUGGCAGCGCGUACAUCACACCACAUUUCAAAUGACUGGUUAUCAGUUUUCGAAAGAGUAAUAAUUCUACUUUAAAAUAAUUCAAGAAAUAAUAAUUCUACUUUAAAAUAUUUCAGGAAUAAUAGGUCACCAUUAAAGCUUUUGAUCAUUUUCUCUUAAAUAUAUUUACACUUUAUUAAGUGUAAGAAAAGAAAAAGACCAAUAAAAUACUCCAUUUGGUAGCUUAAACUGUCACUAUCACUAGUUUCCCAUUAUAUAAGGAAAAGGGUGAAAAAGAAACAGUAACAUCCAAUCGUUUCAACUUUUCUGCAGAAAGCAAAAUCAAUCAUUCAAGCAAAAAAUAGGAAAUUAAAACAACUAUUCUUUUAUAUCCAACACAUGAAAAGUAAAUAAUACUGAUACAAAUAUAGUAGAGGUGUAAGUGAUGCAUGCCUGGCAGCAUUUGAUAACCUUAUAAACAAACCCCAAUUACUAUUUAUAGAAAUUGUAAACUUCCAAUUUCUGGCUAGCUGCCUCGUAUGCAUCUCUUACAUCUCAUGUUAUACACUAUGCUAUACUAUGAAAUUAGCAAAAGCCAUAAAUAUCCGAAACAGACAACAAUACAACGGAAGCGGGCGCUUCACAGUAACAUGUUAUAUGGGCUCAACACCCUUACUAGAUACUGAUGAGUUUCACGAGCGGAGCAAGAUGGAGAGUCAAAGAAAAAUAAGGACCUAAAAUUAGGCUAAAUUAAACAAAACUUAGGUAAACUCGGACCGUUACCCUCAAUUCCCCACAAUGCAUAAUGUCGAUCUCUCAAUUCAACUAAAAAUUUAGCUAGAAACUUAAGAGAUCGAAAUUGCAUUGCUUUGUUCUUCUUGCUUCAUCAAUAGACAACUUUUUCUCCUCCGUCUCCGCGUCCAUAACCAACUUGUUCCUUGAUAGACACCUUCAGAGUCACCAAAAGUCCAUAAGCAUCCACCAAGAAGUAACUCCAUAUAAGGGUGAAAUAAAUGAGAAACAAAGAAAAGCAGCAAAGAGGAAAGUGAGUAGUAGAAAGGGAAGUAGGAAGUAAUGAAGAGGAUGAGGGACACAAUGGGUCGUAUAUAAAGGCGAGAUUAUAGCUUUUCCUCGAAAUUGAUUACAUUUUUCUUUUUUCCGUGACUAUGGUCAGGUCCGUUGGACCGGCCGAG
rnacentral:lncRNA from 1 species